CUCUUACCGAUUUGACUUGGGAAAGGAUACCUCAUGAUGGACAUAUUCCUUGUGCCAGAGAAGGUCAUACCCUUUGUGUAGUAAGAGGGAAGAUAUAUUUAUUUGGAGGGUGUUCAAGCCCGGAUGCUAAAGAAUGUCUUCCAGGAGUCUACAGCUUUGACCUUAGUUCUUUAACAUGGCAGAAGGUAAAAACCAAUGGCAUUGCACCUCAGACCCUCAGACACAGUUCAGCAGUAAUAGG